ACCUAAAAAUCCAAUUGAUCAAGUAUUCAGAUCUUUAGGGGUAUUGAAAAAUAGGAACAUGACAAAUAUUAAAAUAGCAUAUAAUCGGUUUAAUAAUGGGUUUACUUUAAAUAAAAAAAGAUUGAAGUAUUUAUGGUCAAUUUGCUUGAAACGACUGACAUUGUAUGAUUUAGAUAUUAAAGCCAUAACCAUAUAUGCAAUGCAAGUAUUUUCUGUUCGAAGCACAUGCCUUGAUUACUUAGAGAUUUAAAAAAAUAUCUUGAUGUACCGAGGGGUUGUCUUUUUUACCUUUUUGCAGAAGAUUAAAAAGUUAAAGGUUUUGAAAAUUAAAAACAAUCGGCGUCAUUCUAGAAGUAAACGAUCAAAACUAUCAGGAUUAUAUACACUUACUGCCGUGUUACCAAAAACCCUUGAAGAGCUGUAUAUGGAAGAUAGCAUUUCAAGCGAUAUGGUCAAUAUUAAUUUUGUAAACGGACAUAAUUGUCGUGUGUUGAGCUUAAAGGACAAUUAUAUUUGGACUUGCGCAGUAAGUAUUACAGGAAUAAUAAACGUAGAGUAUUUCGAUAUGUCUAGAUGGAAAUGCGAAAAGCUGUCAAUAAAUUUGCUAUUUGGUUUUCCAAAUUUGAAGAUAUUGAAAGCUAGUGGGUCACGUCUAGGAAAAGGAUUUGUUAACAUUGCUGGAGCUGGGUCUUUCUUGAGUAAGAAUCUGAGAUUGCAAGAUGUUAAUCUUUCGUCCAAUAGAAUGGACAGCAUACCAAAUGGAUUUGUUAUGCGCCAAUUUGAAAACUUAUUAAGUUGAAAAACUUGGAAAAGUUGACUUAAUCUUAAGAGGAAAUCCCUUUCAAUGUUUUUGUAAAACAUUACAGUUUUUAAAGUGGUUAAGUCAGACAAACCGAGUAUCGGAUAUUUCGGAUUUAACCUGUGUAACUGAAAAGGCUUCACGUAAAUUAAUGUCUGAAGUUAUUUCAAACCUGAAGACAUUUGAGAUUUCAUGCAAAACAAAAUUUUGGUUGCCGUUUGCUGUGUCUUUAACCUCCAUUAUCAUAUUUGCCAUAAUAUUAACCGUCGUAUAUUUUCGAUAUAAAUAUGCUGUCGAGUACUUUUUAUUGAGAUUUAAAAUGAAAAUGAGAAAUUACAAAGAAUUGACACAGGAAUAUACUUAUGAUGCUUUUAUAUCCUAUAGUCAUGCAGAUUUGGAAUGGAUAAAACAGUUCCAUGACAGAGUAAAUAGUAUGGGCUUCGAAUUAUGCCUGGACGCUAAGGAUUUUAUUGUUGGUAACGGUAUCGCAGAAAAUGUUAUUAAUGCAAUCGAUUCCAGCAGAAAGGUUAUAUUCAUUAUAACUCAUGAUUUUUUAAAAAGUAACUGGGGGUCGUAUGAAAUGCAAAUGACGCGUAUGCAUGCGUUUCGGCAGGAGAGAAAAGACAUGGUGAUUGUUAUUGUAAAGGAUAAGAUAAAGGUAUGAAAAGAUAUGCCGGCAGUAUUAAAGAGUAUGUGGUUUAAGAUAACAUGUAUUCAAUGGCCAAACGGUAACAACCUGUCAUUCAAUACGGAGGAAAUAUUUUAUGAAAAAAUGAAAAUGUCUCUCCAAAAAAAUGAUUUCUAGAAGUUCAGUUGUAUAGAGCGUUUUCCGUCAUUUCUUAGCAAUAUUAUUAUUAAAACUGCGAACCAUGGUUUUGGUGAGUUGCAAUUAUGCUUAUAUAGAUGUGAUAAGAACAAAUACAAGAAAGAGUACUAAGGGGAUACACGCAGGCUUAGAAUUGUAUAUACAUAGUCAUAUUCACAUUAUUACUUUGUAGUUCAAUUAACAGUUUAUAUGUUGCCGGACUGUUUUCUUGUAUGUUCUUAUCAUGCGUCUAUCAAUUUUGU
rnacentral:lncRNA from 1 species